GGUCCCUUCGUCUAGAGGCCUAGGACUCAGGGUUUUCAUCCCUGCAACACGGGUUCGAACCCCGUAGGGACCACCA
rnacentral:tRNA from 1 species